GUGGCAUUCCAUCUAGCAAAUAGAAAGGUGCUCCUAUAAAAUAGAAGCUUUUAUAGGUAGAAAGGGGCAGAAAAAGGAAGUUUCUAACAAUGAGUGGAUUGUUUCAGACAAGGUCAACCCCACUGGAGGGAAGAGCAGGGGUCUAUCCAGUAGAUCAUGUCACUAGUGCUGACCAGGUAAUUCCAGAAUGGCUGGUUAAAGGUCACAGUCUUGGGAGAGGCUAACACUACAAGGAGGUUAAGUGUUAUUUGCUGACAUGGGGUUAGCAUGAGUGACUCCAUUUGGGGCCUGUGGUUUCUUUCUUUCUUUCUUUCUUUCUUUCUUUCUUUCUUUCUUUCUUUCUUUCUUUUUUUUUUUUAACAGACAUAAGCAUAUGUGAAGCAAUCAGAGAACAAGUAAGAAUUCAAUUAUGUCAUGUUGACACAAGCCCACAAAGAGACCAGAGAAGGAUGGCUUUGUGAAAAUGAGUCUUGAUUCAAUUAAAUUAAACAAACAUUAAUAGCAUCUUUAAUGCACAAGGCACUGUGUUAGGCACUGUGGGAGUAUGGGGGGGGGGGGGAACAAAGCCACAUCCUCAAAUUGUGGGGACAGAUAUGUAGGGAAAAUUGUAAUGUGGCAUAAAAAGUAUACACCACAGUGUUAAGGAGUGCUAUGGACUGUGUGUCCCCCUAAAAUUCAUAUGUUGAAGACCUACCCCCCCCCCCCAGUGUGAUGGCAUUUGGAGGCAGGAGUCAUAAUGAUGGGGCCCUGAUCUGAUGAGAUGUAUGCCCUUAUAAGAAGAGACAACAGAAAGCUUUUUUGUGACCCGCACCCCCUCUUCCCUGUGCCCUGUGUGUGUGUGCAUACAAAAGCAGUCGUGAGCACACAGCAAGAAAUAGGCUGGUCUACAAGCCAAGAAGAGAGCCCUCGCAGGAAUGUGAUCUUGCUGGCACCCUGGCCUUGGACUUCCAGUCUCUAGAACUGUGAGAAAGCAAACGUCUGUUGUUUAAGCCACCCAGUGUUGGUAUUUUGUUAUGGCAGCCUAAGCUGACUAAGACAUGGAAACAUAGAUGAGAGAGACUGUAAAGGGUUCUAUCACGGAGGGCUUCCUGGAGGAGAUGAAAUUGGGGUUGUGGGAUGAGUCAGGUUCUAAAGAGGAAGGUGUGAAAAGGGCAUUGCAGGCUGAAGAAGCAGCCAAAGGCAGAGGGUGGUAUUGCAGCAGUCUAUGCAGUGGGGUCAUAGAGCUCUUAGAGCCUGAGGUGGAGAGGUAAGGGAGAGAUGGAGCUAAGAGGGAAGGCAGGCCCCAAGUCUAGGAACCUUGAAGACACUAAGGAGCAUGGAUCUUGCUUUAAUAAGAGGAGGGUAGGGGCAUCAGUGUUUUUGAACAGGUGAACAGCACUAUUGGAAAGGAGCCAGUGGCUGCAUGGGAAGCAGUGAUUGGCAGGAGGGCAGGCUACAAGGAGAGAAGCCAUGAGGCUGACAAGGCAAUGGGCGGGGCCAGAGGUGAUACCCAUAAGGUCCCAUAGGUCAGGGCAAGAGCAGCACCCAAGGGUAGUACGUGGAACCACCUAACUGUGGGGAUGAUGCAGGUGGCCAAAGGUGAGACUGGAGGGGUGGUUCCCAAAUUCCUCUUUGCCUUUCUUUGAGCCCCCACCAGACCCUCCUCUUCAUGCUUUGUGUUUCUGCUUCCAAUCUUCUUUUGCGCAUCUCUGCAUCUUUGGAUUUCCAUGUUUCUGCAAAAUAACAGGGCUUUCCUUUCAUCUUGCCCCCAGUCCAGCCCAUGGCUCUUCUAUGGUUGGAGGAGGAGAGGAAAAAGGGCCUUAAGAGAGAAGGGAUACCAGGGAGAGAGUUGUGAGGGAAGAAGCUGAUGCACAAAUAACUAAUGUUUCCUUCUUUCCUCCCUCCCUUCCUUUUUUCCUUCCUUCUGGGAAAUUUCUAUGUGCUAGGCUUUGUUCCAAGCAGUUUACAUGAAUUAACCCAGUUAAUCUCAACAGUGGCCCCACAGGGAGGGCACAUAACUGCUGGUCAAGAACACAGGCUUGACUGCCAGACUCCCUGGUUUGUAACUCCAGCUUCACAUCCACUGGCUGCAUGAUCUUGGGCAAGUGACUGAAUGUGUCUUUGCCUUGACUCCUUCAUCUAUAUGAUGAGGAUGGUGAUGGUUCCCACUUCAUAGGCUUGUAAGGAAUAAAUGAGUUAAAAUAUACAAUGGUGAUUGGCACAAAGGGAGUGGUCAGUCAGUAUUUUAAUAUAAGAGAACUGAAGUCCACAGAGAAUUUACUUUCCCAAGUUCAUCCAGGUAGUAAAUGGAUGGCCAAGUUUUGGACCCAAACCAACUAUAUGUCUAGUUAGUGAAUCCUGCCUUUCCACUGAACAGAUAUGAAGAGAGAGCAGGAAGAAGUUGAGGUGGAUGAUGUAG